AAAUUCUUCAAGGUGUAGCUUUGAAAACAAAGCCUUCACAGAUAUGUAGACUUAAGAGAGACUUUCUCAACCAGAGACACCAUUGUUCCUAGCUCAUCUCAGAAGAGCAGAAUAUCUGCCAUACAUCUCCUGUUCCGUGGCUGCUUGUCUUCAGAAAUAACAGACCUGUGAAAGAAGAGGCAGGAAAGAGACUGCUACUCCCAUCACCUCACAUGAUGUGUGCAGCCAGACACCUGAGUGCAGACGGGGUUAAAUGAAUUGCCAGCUUUGGACUUGGGAAGGAAUUUUGCUCAAGGGUGUAGCGGCCAGGGACUGCUGGGUCUGGGAGUU
rnacentral:lncRNA from 1 species